UUCACCGGGAGGAGGAUCAGGCCAGCUUGGCCAUUAGGCACCGGCGGAUAAUGCCGGCAGAAAAAUUGGCAGAAUUCGGAACUUUUCUGAAUCUGCCACCUUUUGGAGCAGAAUCCGCCGGUGCCUAUUGGCCAUGCAUUCCGACGGGAUCGUCCCGGGACGUAGCAGUGCCGACAUCGUCGGCGGCGGUCAAGGUGUUAUGCCGCAGACUGUGUUCGGAGUAGACCUACACUAUCCGCCGUGUCUAGUCUCCAGCCAGGUUCCAUACCACCCCGGCCCAUGAUCAUGAUGAUCCAGUGCACGGACGUCGGAGCGUUGUGACCAGUCCAGGGAUUCGCGGGCUCACACGCGCCAUGAUCACGACACACAUGCUCGUAGAUCUACGACUCGAUCGACUCGGCCGGAAUUCGCCUGCUGCAGUGAAGUAACUACAAUGUAGUAAUAGUUCAGACACUGCGUUCAGUGCUUGCGACCGUCCUGGUCGUGUGAAGGGAAAUCCAACAGUCGGGGGCGCUGAGCUGAGGUGUGUCAACAACAAAAUGACUCUGAAAUCGUGAUCGUUCACCGGUCACGAUUCUGGGAUCAUUCCUGUGGCUGUCAGCAUUACCAACAACCACCCGAACAGUGUGGCCUGACAGAAGUUCGUUCACUGUUCAGCUGCUUUCAGCCAAGUACCAGUGUUCGUUACUUCAAAUCAGGCCAGCGGCAGCUAAGUGUUGACAGAACCAUUAGACCCAGGUGCUUGAGGGAGAUGGGAUGCUUUCAAGUAACUUGUUUACUCACACUGUCGCAGUAUAUAGGAUCUACAGGCCUCUAUUAUUUUUCUUGCUUCUGGUGCAGGAUUGUCGUCUACCAGUACUACCUGGUCUACUCCGCAAGCAGGAAACUAGUCCGGCCAACGCGAGAGUUUUGAUUUAGAAAUCCCCAACUCCGUCGUGUCGUAUCGUGGACAGGAUCUAGGAUGUGCAUGUGCAUAUGCUCUCCAUCGAGCUGAACGGGUAAAAUGUCGACGCUGUGCCCGUCCGCCGGCAGUUUACCGUGUCGAGCUGGAGGUGAGGGUUCAUGUACUUUGCACCUGCGAUUCCCAGCGCAUUUCUAGCGCUAGCAUAGCCAAGUGUCGACCCACCGGCCGCAUGUUCACCGAUCAUCAGUAAUUACCAGCAGUAUGUGCUGGUUUGAGCUGCCAUGACCGCCGUGUUUCCAGUGUGACUGGCCUCAACGACGUAGAUCUACUGGUGUCGCUGCCUAAUGUGCGUGGUGAUUCUCAGAACGACCAUGAGAAGGACCAGGCGAUCGUGGACGGCACUCCUCCUUUGCUCCACUCUACUGCAGAUCGGAUGCAUGCAAGGUAUGCAGCCGGAACACCAUCUGAAUUCGCCUAGUAUGCACGCACAUGGUGGCACCGAGCCAACCUGCUCGCCAUCACUGCCAUUGGCAAAAAGAAGAUUAUGUCAUGAAGGCAAAGAAAAGUUGGAUCAGGAUGAUCUGCAGGAAAGAUAUUGGUUAAGCAGCGGUGCGGUGCAGGGAGCUCUGGCUGCAUCGUGUAUCACUGUCCUGGCACUUAUCAUCAUUACUGUUACGGUGCUGCUGCGAAGACGGGGCUCCCUCUGUGGGUGUGGAUGCAGCUGCUGCAGGAGAUACUCCAACACGUCAUUCUCUGUUCUGCAGAGGACUCUGGAUGGAGGAGAUGACUUCCUCUGAUCCAGCAUCCAGGCCAUGAUCUGUUUACACAGGACGGGGCUGGUUGGUUGUAAUGAUCGCAGCUGGGAGCCCAGUAAUGAUGAUUCAGUCUUGAAAUCACCUUCUCAGCUCCAUCUGGAUGCUUGCCACCAGACUGCUUCAAGCCACCUGCAUGCGGGUGCUGGAUAGAGCUAGGUAAGUGUUAGUCAGUGCAGCAAACUUUGACCAGCUAGUGCAAUGUGCUAACAGCUGCAUGUGAUACCCUGGCCAGUCGGCAUCUGCGAAUGUGAGCACAGACUGGCGGUAUCCGCAGCACAUUGACAGGUACCCAUCAUCGGCAUGGCUGUGUAUCUGAGCUCUGCCACAGCCUGGCUUGGCCUGCUGCUCAGCCGCUACCACAGCCAAUACUACUGACUGUUGUUGCCACAGCCUCUGCUGCCGCAGUACUGUUUCCGCCACAGCCUCUGCUGCCGCAGUACUGUUGCUGCCACAGCCUCUGCUGCUGCAGUACUGUUGCUGCCACUGCCUCUGCUGCUGCUCCUACCGUACCAGCAAUCUGAAACAAGGCGGGGCAAUACGCUUCAUGACGUGUUAUGGACUGUGGUUUUAGUUUGACUGGGUACAUCCCACAGGAAGUUGCCUGCGUCGAGCAAAUAAUUGUGCGAUACUGAGAUCCAGUAUCAUCCUUGGUGCUUAUUGAACAAUUACGUACUCUGAGCUUGACAACAUCCCUUGCAAGCUUACCCCCCUUCAUGAUCUGGUCAGAAUUGACUACAGGUCGCCUUUGUUCUCCCUUGCUUCACCCACAAUCUUCUAAAAAUCAUUCAAUUCAUAAAAUUCCAGAAAUAUGCCCCAAAAAAGUGUGGCUGCUCCAAUGUGGGAACUACAAUGUAACGUUGCAACUAUUUCCGUACCAGAUAUAAUGACCGUGUAUGGCAGUUGUUCUUGAAAAUCAAUGUGGUUUGCGUCACGGGAGGUAAACAACCCUGCAGGCUUGCAAUAAUUUCAAACAAUCCUGUUCCAACUCUUCCGGACACUGUAUGCCAUUGCUUCUCCAUAAAAACGGUGACUGCACUCUAUGUCAUCUAGCCCAAAUAUAGAGGAAGAGCAAGGAGCUCCUCAAUCACUCAACAGCCUACAGGAAAGGCAUUGGUUAAGCAGUGGUGCUACUCAAUCAUGUCAUCACGCAGAGUCAUUAGCCUCUCAUCUCCUGUAUUUGUUGUGUAUUUUGCUUUGCACGCUGGUGCCAUCAAACACUCCUUCGAGCUGCAUGCCCCCGGCUAGGCCAAGUUGUGUGCCAUCAAUCUAUGUGGGCGUCCAGGGAGUUGUAUACAUCAUGUAGAUCUAUGCAAAUCCCUGGUGGUGUCGUACAGUGUAGUGAGACAAGUCAUAGAGCUGAAUCCCAGAGUGAUUAGGCAUCACUUCUUUCUGCUGUACGAGUCCGCUGACUAUGGCAAUGUGUGGUUCAAAUCGGAGCAAACAAUAGAAGACGUCUCUUCCUGUACUACAGGUCAAAGGGAUUCGCUACACUCCAUGCACUUGUGCCCACAUGCUUAUGCGCGCACAGAACACACACUCAGAUAUGCCCACUGCGGAAGCGAUGAUAGCGAACAGCUCAGUACGUGUAUGUUAGCAGGGGGUUAUGUACUCUUGAUGUUAGACAUAGCAACUUGUGCUGGGAUUACACCAUUAAUAGCUUGCAAGGCUGAUGAAUUGACCACCACUCAAAUUUUAGCCUGGUAUCCCACCACAUAGCUGAUUGAAGUGGCUUUUUCUGGCCAGUGGAUCCCUAUUUUUCAUUUUUUUCAUUCUUU